GGCAUCCCAGAGAGUCACCACCUGGUUGCUAGGGACCCAGUAGCCAUGAGGGAGUACCUGGUGGAAAGGUUUCAACUCACGUCAUCCAACUUCUUCCAGGCAAAUCGCUCUUUUUUAAGAAGUCACUCAGAGGGGGAGUCCACCUUCUAUGAAUUUAUAUGUAGACAGGCACAUAAAAGAGUAGGUUUGCUCUCAAUUGUGACCCUUGGGUUGCCUCCUCUAUAGGGAUAUCACCCACUUAUGAGCAGAACAGAAACUUAUUUUUAGAGUUUGCGUGGCUUGCACCUCUGAUUGACUAAGACAUGAAAGAGAGCCCCGCCUUCACAGACUCCUCUGCUGCAGCCUCCACCUCUGCCUCUGUCGAUACCAGAAUCCAAGCUGACAUUCCUAGCGAUAUAAUCCACUCCAAUUCUUCUCAAAGAAAAGCAUUGGUUGGGAGAAUGCAUUCAUGGCAAAGCGCUGGGCUCCUCCAAUCAAAUGCUGGUAUCAUUCAUCUUUGUUUAAGGCUUUGGUAUAAUUGUC